AAAACUCAAUAUACUGCUGCGAGUAACCAACCGUAGCCAAGCCACGAAUCCCACUGUACCACUGCGAGCAGUCAUAUUCAAGCCACGACGUUUAAAAUGUCUGUGCCUAGCUGUUCUAGCCACUGCUACUCGUGUAAGUUGAACUUGGGAUUUCAAAUAUUUUCUGGAAUUUUAUGAUUGAAUUUAUUAUAGACUAAUUCAGAGUGUUAUUAGCAUAAGAAAUCUCAUGGGAGUUCAAGAGAAGUUUCUUGUGCUCAUAAAAUAAUUGGGAUAAUUAAUUAAUAAAACCAAGAAAUUGCAUACUUUUAUGUUGUUAUUUUGCAGUAGUUAUUUUAAAUAUGAUUUUUUAAAAAAAUUUUUGAUGUAGUAAUGGAGAAUUUGGAACAAAUGGAUGAAGUUAAAGAAUUGGAGGAAUUGGAGGCAUUAGACGAGUCUGAUUUAUAAGAAAAUAUUGAGAAAUUCGAGGAGACCGAAUUUGAUAACAAUGAAGAUGUGAAAGAAAAAGUUGCUAAGCCUCAGGUUGGGAUGUGAAAGAAAAAGUAGCAGUGGCAAUGGUUGAUUUUGGGGUGCCGCUUUGUAAGUGGCUGUGGUUGUCGCGUGAUGGCUGUAGGCAGUGGCAGUGACGAAUGGCUGUGGUGUGGUGGUUUGGGUGAUUUUGGGAGAGUGCUUGUGCUAUGUGACUCUGGGGAGUAUACUUUCUGCUUUGUGGUUGUCAUUCACAACCAUAAAGAAUAAGAAAGUUUAUUUUCUUUUCUUUUCUUUUCAUAUUGCUAAAGUUAGACGGUGCAUUUUAAUUUAUUAGAGAUUGACUUCGUUCAAAUAGCAUUUUCAUCCCAACAAUAACUUUUGUAAAAUUCUUCGUUCUGCGUUGUUUA
rnacentral:lncRNA from 1 species